rnacentral:rRNA from 1 species
GCGCUAAACAGCUAGCUUAAACACCACAUUAAAUGAACAAUAUAAAUAAAAUAAUAUAGACCUAAAAUUAUUAAUUAAACCAUUUU